AUGCUCAUUUACAUCCUGGACAGAGUCCUUUGGGCUUGCCAGGCCUGCUGUUUCUGCUUCCUACAGCCCAAGACUCUGGGGUGGAACUUUGGCACUGUCUCCCAGGUGACUUCAGUGGGUGAAGUCACAAAGGAAGAGUGCCCUGUGGGAAUGAGGCUCUGGCCUGAGGCACUUGGACUUGGAACCCUGAAGUCUGGCUGGUGGGCUGGAGGAGACAAGACAAGCAGAGAGUGGCCUCGCACCUGGUUGGGACCUGAGGUUUCAGGCACAGCUGAGCAAGGAUAACAUCGACGCAAAGACCUGAGGACAACAGACUCUGAACCCCAUGGGACGCAUCCACUCCUAUUUGCAAACCCCUUUUUCAGAGGACUUCUCUUUCAAGGGGUAAGCUAUCAAGAAAACCAUGACUCAGUGACGUGCUGGAGUCAAAUGGAACCAGAUAAAGAGAACUGUUCAUUCAGUGAUGUCACAUUGGUAGCUGGAAAUGAAUCAUGGUGAAAGUACUUACACCAAAGAAAUCAGAAAACACUGUAUGUCAGAGCUUUCUUUUUCCCUUCCAGAGAAGGGAAAAAGCACAUCACUUUCAGCAUUUCAGAAGUAGGGAAAGAACAAAGAAAAAGUAUUGUGAAGUCAGAAGGCCAAAAAUAAAAGGGAAUGAGAAGGCUAAGUAGUCAGACUUGUACAUUGGGAGGUCAAGGCAGAAGGAUCUCUUGAGACCAGGAGUUUGAGAUCAUCCUGGGCAAUAUAGUGAGACCCAUCUCUACCAAAAAAAUAAAUAAAUAAAAAUUGUCAAAAGCUAUGUAUGUGUCUUUGGAUUGAACAAUUAGGCCAAGGUGACCAGGGAGAAGCAGAUAUCAAUAUGUGGGGCAGAGAGAAGCUACGAAGAAAAGCAGUCAAUGAGAGAAUCAAGUGCAGUGCAGCCACAGGCCUGGGGAGAAAGCUGAAUCAUGGAAGUGGUGGGUAUAGAAGUAGAUAAAGAACCCAGGGCUGAUGGAGAGAGUGGGACACAGGUUGAGAGAAGCCGGGAUAAACCCUAGAGACCUACAAAACAGUAGCCCAAAGAAGACACACAGCAGUUGUUAGGGGGAGGCACUAACAGUGGUGUGCAGAGGGCAAGCAAGUUUCUGUGACAGGUGAGUACAGGAAGGCAGGAGGGUCACUUAGAGGGUGCAGGCUGAGCUGAGCAGGCAAAAGUUAGAAAACAUUGUAAGGGGGAACUAAGGUGACCCAGAAAAUGGGAAAUAGGAAAGCAGGA
rnacentral:lncRNA from 1 species